ACUUUCUGACUGUGAGUACUGCUACAAGUCCACCCCCACCUCUGCUUGUAGAAAUAAAAAGUGCAGAUUUAUGAGAGGGGAUGGGUCUACCUGGAGUGACUUGAGGAAUACCCAGAAGACCCCGUCCACCUCCUCCUGCUUAGAAUAUGCCUUUUGCUAGCCUGCUGUGAUGCCUGGAAUUUCAUCCUUCACCCAUGUGCUGCAGGACAAGAGGAGGGCCAGAAAGCUCUGCCCAUGCCUGGGGAGCAUGCUGGAUCUCCCUUCCAGCUACAGAAGAGGUCUAUGGUUUCUUAGACACGCGUGGAUUCUCACAGCCACCACCACAGACAGUACAAGCAACAGUUCCAAUACUCCAGAGAACGCCCUCAUCUCUCCUCACCCCUGCCUUCUGGCAAGCAAUGAGCUGUUCUCUGUUCCUGUAUUUUUGCCUUUUCUAGAAUGCCAUAUAAAUGGAAUUAUAUAGAAUGUGCCCUUUUGGUACUGGCCUCUUUUGUUCAAAAGAAUAAUACCUUUGAGAUUCAUCCAUGCUGUUGUUUGAAUCAAGCAUGUUAACUUUUAUUGCUG
rnacentral:lncRNA from 1 species